AGAAUGAACGCUGGCGGCGUGCUUAACACAUGCAAGUCGAACGGAAUACAAGGAGCUUGCUCCGAACUAUUUAGUGGCGAACGGGUGAGUAUCACGUGAGCAACCUGCCCCGAAGACUGGGAUAACACCGGGAAACCGGUGCUAAUACCGGACGUCUUUCAAUGAUCGCAUGAUCGAUGAAAGAAAUGUUUUUUCGCUUUGGGAGGGGCUCGCGGUCCAUCAGCUUGUUGGCGGGGUAACGGCCCACCAAGGCUACGACGGAUAGCUGGUCUGAGAGGACGAUCAGCCACACUGGAACUGAGACACGGUCCAGACUCCUAUGGGAGGCAGCAGUGGGGAAUCUUGCGCAAUGGACGAAAGUCUGACGCAGCAACGCCGCGUGAGGGACGAAGGCUUUCUGAGUUGUAAACUUCUUUCGACAGGAACGAUUGUGACGGUACCUGUAGAAGAAGCACCGGCCAACUAUGUGCCAGCAGCCGCGGUGAUACAUAGGGUGCGAGCGUUAUUCGGAUUUAUUGGGCGUAAAGAGCUCGUAGGCGGUUCGACAAGUCGGGUGUUAAACCCCCAGGCUCAACCUGGGGCCGCCACCCGAAACUGUCGUGACUAGAGUUUGGUAGGGGAUCACGGAAUUCCUGGUGUAGCGGUGGAAUGCGCAGAUAUCAGGAGGAACACCAGUAGCGAAGGCGGUGAUCUGGGCCAAUACUGACGCUGAGGAGCGAAAGCGUGGGGAGCGAACAGGAUUAGAUACCCUGGUAGUCCACGCCGUAAACGGUGGGCACUAGGUGUGGGGACUUUUCAACGGUUUCCGCGCCGCAGCUAACGCAUUAAGUGCCCCGCCUGGGGAGUACGGUCGCAAGACUAAA
rnacentral:rRNA from 1 species